GGUGGGGGAGGGUACAUUUCCUGACAUUUUCUAAGGCUUUGUUUUCAUAGCACACCUCGCUCAAUCUAGCAUUUAAACAUUCCCAUGGCCUUCUAUUGUGGAAUGAAUAUGGUGGGCCCCUUAAGUCACUGUGUUUUAUUCUCAUACAGCUCUUGGGCACAUCCCAGGUACUGAACAAAUAGUGAUUGACUGCAUUAGAUGGGGGGAAGGGGUACAAUUAAAUGUCUUUGAGGAAAGAGGGUAAUUUGGAGGAAAAGGGAAAAGUCCAUGAUGUGGAAGGUCGUUUAAUAUUAUUAUUAUUAAUUUCUCCCAUGCCACUCGCAUAGCUUCAAGGUCUCCAGAAGUAUGUUAUCUUUUCUAGACCCUGACCCUGAACAUGCACACACAACUUUUAGUGUUUCCACAAUCCCAGUGGGUGUUACCGAUCGUUGCAUAAGAAACUCUCCAGGGCCAGGAAUCUCAGAUGAAGAGAGGGGCGUCCCCUGCUCCUGGCAGAUGUGGCAGUUCAGGGAAGGCACCCACGGCUCCUGGUGGGCACCUGGCUGGUCUGGGAUGGUAGGUAGCUGCACGUAUAGGGUGGUUUCUCUUGAGUCUGGAUCCCUGGUUGUUGCUUGCAAGGUUAUCAUCAGUGUCGUGCUGUGACGCCACACUGAAAUAGGAAAGCAAACAAGGGGCGGUCGCGUACUGAGCAGAGGGAGACAGGGGAAGUCGCCGUAUCUCCUGGGUAUCGGGUAACCUUCUCGACAAGGCUUAUCUCUUAGGAGAGAUUACAGAGGAGCUAAGAGAGGUCUCUGGGGCCAAUUCCUGCGCUGUGAACUGUCGCUCAGUCACCAGCCAGCCGUCAGGCUUCUGGACAGCUUUCGGGAGAAGCUGUUAGUUCCCAGAGGCAGGUGCCCAGAUGAGAGGAAGCGCGGACUGGAGGUCUUCAGGCAGGAGGCGUUCCUCAACACGUUGUGAACUGAAAGGUUCCAGACACCAGGCAGAGCUUAUGAAGUACCUUGCCGUGCCCUGCGUGGUGCCGGCAGCUCAGUAAGGCUCCUUCUAAACCAGCUUUAGGUCAAACGUGUGAAAUGCUCAGCCUCGUUACGCGUUGAUUGUAAUACUAACAGUGGUGAGGGUGUCCCCAAUUUUAAGGCAAUGUCAUUCAUCCAGUUUUUUCUUGUCUCCUCCCCAGAUCUGUUAUUAAAUCGUCUUGAUUGAUGACAUCCAGGAAUUGAAAAGCUGCAAUGUCUUAUCACAGGAGAAUCCUGUGGACUUAGAAGGACAGAAAGAUGACCACUCAGGUGUUCAGUGUAGACAUGAUAGGUGAGGCUCUAAGAAAACUGUGAAUUGGUAUCAGAAAUAAAAGGAGAGAGAUUCAAAACCUACACAAAAUGUUGAGGCAAUGUUGAAGUGAGAGUUUAGAACAGGAAAAGAUACACCAGCACACCAGAACGUCAGAGCUGGAGGAGUUCUCGGUGCUCUCCUGACGGCCCUCUGAUUCUCAGGUGGCUUGAGUGGGGAGUGAAGCCCAGGUCUGGGCUACAGACUUUGCAGUCUGGCUCUGCGUUUGUCACACCACUUUGGAAUGAAUCAAGGAGAGCAGUAAGUUAACAAAUUGUAAGCCACCCCUGUGGUGCCGUGGGUCAGUUACCCACCACUGCAGACAAGCCAGGCCGAACAUUGCGGCUGAAAACGGCAGCCCUCUAUUGGCUCACGGCCCUGAGGGUGGCGAUGAGGGCUGAGCCGCUGGGUGGUGUCACCUGUGCUCCCUUGGGCAUCCGUGGUCAGCUGCCCACCAAAGCCCGCCUCAUGUGUCUGGGGCGGUUGGCUGCGGACUGGGGGGGGAUGGGCCGCUGCUCCCCCAGGGCUGGCCCGGGGCUCCUCACAGAGCUGGUGGUGCCCAGCGCUGUGGGCCCAGUGCACACGGUUUUCCAAGCCCACGUCACAUGGCUGAGGUCUCCUUUACCAAAGCUGUCGCAUGGCCCAAGUUCAGGAGGUGGGAGACAGCCUGCGGCUUUUGAUGGGUGGGGCCAUGAGGUCCCGGCUUUUGAUGGGUGGGGCCAUGAGGUCCCGCUGGAGACGGGAUGCAUGGAGGUGGGAGGCGUUUGGAGCUGUUUUUGCAAUCAGCUGCUGCUGAGAGUAAGACUUGUUCUCAAUGCACACGACUUCCCUGAAUCUGGACCUGAGCUCAGUGGGGAGGCAGGAGUGACCCCAGGAGAUGAAGAGGUUGAGUGUUCGGCCCGGUGGUCUCGCAGCCAGUGAGUGAGGAAGGGGCUCAGAUCUGGCUUGUCUUCAGCUCGGCGAGCAGCCAUCCUUCUCGGAGGGUGUGCGUCAGGGGCAAGCUGAAGGCUUACCACGGCGAGGGGCUCAGCGAGCCUGGGAGUAGGUGUCUGCCACUCCCGUGGCCCGUCCUCACACAGGGAGCCUGGUUUCCUCCUGUCUAAUGAGCAUGGUUAUAGUAUCUGCUGCCUGGCCGUGUACAGAUAAAGACGUGCUCCACGCGCGCAGUGUGUUUCCUGAGCAGGGAUGGCGGGUUAUUGUUUUAAAGACAGUUGGCAAGACUGCGGGGCUGCUGGGGACUUUUUGCAGGGGAGUUGAGGGGCAUGGCACAAAGCAUGCUGGUGCUACAAGGCCUUCAGAUGCCACACGAGAGGGGAGAUGGACGUUAUCGUUCAUCCAAGUGCUUCUUGUUUCAAGGGGGCCGAGGCUGGGUGAGGCCAAGUCUGUUGUCAGAUCCUCCAGGCCCUUCUGUCUGGUUCCCUCUGCCCCAGCUCCCAUGGGCCUUGCUGCUUAGGACCCCCCCCUGCCUAUUUCUUGGCUUCUCAUCCUGGAACAGCCUUCAUCUCUCUCAUCAGAGCGUGAACACGUGGGCUCGUGCUCCACCCUGCCCCAGACUUUAAAGUCAGAGUCCGGAGAGACGGCUCAGCGGGUGUAGGACCACGGGACACACGUGGGACACAUACAGGACACACGGGACACACUUGCGACAGUGAAGCGGGCAGGUGUGGUGAUGCUGUCCCGCUGGGAUCGAUCCUACAUCUUUCCCAGGAAACAGCCCCCACACACCAGGAAGUCAGGGACCAACGAGGAAAGAGAUCAAGUUCAAGGGGCCCCCUGUUCUCCAUGCUAUCGUGAACCCUUUCUGCUGGGGGUCUCCCACCCUCACCCAUUCCCUCUCCUGAUUUUGACAAUUUAUUUCUUCUUUCUGGACCUGAACACAGGUUUGGCCUCACGUUCUCCUGGAUACGUGAUGUCAGGUGACCACACAGACUGUCACACCAGAGCCUCCAGCACCGGCCCCUCUGUUGCCAGCAGGGCUGGUCCUCUGUUCUCCCCCUGACCUGCCUCGGCAGGUGACUAAUUUCCAUGACCCAUAUCUAUUAUCAGGACAGAGGACAGUGUCAGAAUAAUCAGUGUCUUUAAGAAAUUGUAUUUUAGCUGGAAGCAGGAAAAUACGUUUAUUUCCAGGACUGUUGGAGAGAAAAAUAAUUAGGAAAAGCUUAGCUUUACAAAACCUUGCUUUCAGGAUGGACUGUGAAGCCAGAAUGUGCACCAUGUGUUCAGAAACACUAGCCUCAAAAAAUGGAGUCAUAAAUCCACUUUGAUCCAUGCACCAAAGUGGACAGUGCACCUCCUUCGCUCAAACGAAAGAAGACCGUGUUUUUCUUGCUGAACAAAAGAACUGUGUGUACCGGUGUGGCUCUAACAUGAUGAGAAACUGAGAGGUUGGGGGUCCAUGAAAACAUUGCUGGUGCAACACUAAGCGUUCAAACACCACCAUUAACUAUUAGCAUCAUUUCUGGCAUUUCCCCAAAAGCCUACAAACUCAUUUUUGGCUCAAGAAAAUAUACUUUUUGCAGCAUGCACUUUUUUUCUGCAAAAAAAGAGAGAAUUCUAUGGCAAAAAUAACCACUUCUGUAAUUUUGCAGGAUGUGGAACUGGAGGGAAAACCCCACGAAAUUAAGCAACUUCAUUUUUAUGAUUCCCAGUUUAUCACUCACAUUUCAAGAAAAGGAUGCCUUUGAAUAAAGGAAUUCCCUCGGGCAAGUGCCGGAACCUGCCCUCUGUGCCCGGCUGUGCUCCCUGGGCGACCGUCAUGCACAUCAGCGGCUGGUCCUGCCCGGGGUGCCUUAGGUAUGGUUUGCUGGAUGUCAGGACACCAGGGGACAGGAUGAUCUCCUCCUACAGCAGGCGCCAAGUGUGGCCACAGCAAUAACCCACUUUGGGGCUGACAGCACAAGGAGAGAGUCCUCUCUGGACCAGGUGCCAUGACCCACUGGUUCAGGGCAGCAUCUCAAGUUCCCGUGGCUUUUCCUGUGCUCUGGAUCAGGCGUGCGUCUCCACCUGCCCCUAGCCCGGCCCACGCGGGCUGCACUGCGUCUGCCCACAGGCAGGCCCGUCUCCAACAUCCCCACUCCCGGGACAGCACCUUGGGGGCCCAUCCUCCCUUCAGCCUGGUGGUGGGAGCGGUGCCGGCCGGUCUACAGCUCCUUCUCUCCCCUCCCCGGGCUCUGCAUUGUGUGGGGCGCAGGUGAGCCUCAGCACUGCGCACAUGCAGGAGCGGGCCUACUGUCCACGGCGGGAGAAGGCGCUGGGCUGCACUGGGUACUGGGCAGGUCUCUGGACUCCAGGGCUGCGCACUCAGGCCGGUUCCUUCACAGGCAUCACAGCCCGCGUGCAGAGACGCGGUUCCUGGGCUAUCGUGUGUGAGGGAAGAUGAGGGGGCCUGGCUCUGAACCACACCCCCAGGCCCGGUUUUGCCCCGAUUCAUUUAGCUUUUCACCUUCCUGGCAACUCAUCCACUACUUACCUCCCUUUGCCUUGGUCUUUGGCCUUGAGCCACGUUCCGGUUUCAGACCUCAGCCUUUCCCACCUGCAGGUCUGGGGCCAGACCCCGACCGGCCUGCCCGCAAAGCCCUCUCAGCUGGGAGCAUGGCCUUAUUCCUAAAAGUGGGGAUGGGCAGCCCUUGGAGCUCCCCAUGGCCUUGAGGAUCCCAAGGUCACAUUUGCCAAGUGGCAGAACGGAUGCUUGCAUCCGGGUCUCCCGAGUCUGGGUUUUCUCCAGACCAUGGCCUGCACCUGGGCUCGCUGACCUUGGAGGACUCUGUCUGAGGGGAAGAGAUCAGAGCAGGGAGAGGAAUGAAGGGCCUUGAAGGCUUUGCUCAUAGAGCGGAAAUGUGAGAUGGGAGGCGAGGGCAGGCACAAAACCUGCUCGUCCUCCAGAUUCAGGAAGCAGCGACUCCGUCCUCUCUCGGCUUUUGUGUCUGUAAAGUGGGGCUGCUUGUCCCCAGGUUGUGUCUCACACCCCGGGGCAUUGGAAGACGGAUGGGCCCGAGUCCCACACAGCCCUGAUGUGAUGCAAGGUGCCGCGUGAAUGACUGGAAGAAAUAGAAACAGUGGAGCUGAUACCCAGGAGGCUUCAGGUGUCCCCUAAUGCCACUGUGUUGACUCAACAUGAAUUCUGCUCAAGCGAACGAAUGUUGAAAUUCCUCUGAGCAGCAGUGAGUGCCACCUUCCCUGGGCACAGGUCUGUGCUUCUCAUUUAUUUUUUUAUUUUUUAUUUUUUACUUUUCGGUACGCGGGCCUCUUACAGGUGCGGCCUCUACCGUUGCGGAGCACAGGCUCCGGACGCGCAGGCCCAGCGGCCAUGGCUCACGGGCCCAGCCGCUCCGUGGCAUGUGGGAUCCUCCCGGACCGGGGCACGAACCCAUGUCCCCUGCAUCGGCAGGCGGACUCUCAACCACUGCGCCACCAGGGAAGCCCCAUCUUCUUAAUAUGUCUCACUUGUUGCAAAAAUAUCUGAUUAAUUCAUUAAACUGUGCUUAAUAGAUUGAGUUAUAUUAUAGAUCAUGCAAUGGUUUAACAUUAAAAUAAAAAUUAGUAGCUAACCCAGGGGGGCAAGGACGCUGCUUCCGCCUGAUCCCUUCUUUCAUCGUGAGCAUACGGAUUGUCAUCGACCCCUUCCUAAGCAGACACACUUCCUUCUGCAUGGAUUCAAGCUUGCCUUCCUUCUGAUGAAUACUGAGCACGGAAACCAACAGGAUUUCCUGUCCCCGUGUUACAUGGUGCUGGGACCAAGUACACAAACCAGCAGACAAAACGAUAGCCAAGUUGCCUGCUCCUGGGGCCCUGGUCCUGGAAGAUGAGCCGCAGCAGACUCUGCUUUUGGGACUCCUUCGAGACCCUCCCUUUGCUGCACCCACCAAUGCAAGGCUACUUCGUCAUACACUCUGCCCAAUUCCAACAAUUCUUCACUUUUCAAGACUUGCCAAGAAUCUCUGCACUCAGGCCCCAUCACCAAUGAGCACUGUCUGCUGACUUUGCUCUCUGAGCACCGAUGCCAGCCAGGAUUCAAAAUGGCCUUGAAAAGCCAGAAGUUGGCCCCAAAUUGAGAAGAAUACAUUUAGCAGGAUGGCCCUGGCUGCCACAGUUUGAAAGGGACACUGAGAAGUGAGACCAGACAGGUUGUGGCUAUGAUUUCCAGUACUUUUACCAGGGAAGAUCGGCCAGUCAGCGGACACAGUUGGUGACUGAGAGAAGGAAAACCUCGGUGACAGCAAGCCUGUGAAGAGUCCAGAUGGGGUCUCUGCUCCCCGCCUGGCACAAUAGUAAACAAGCGAAAGGGGUAGUCAGACUUUCUCCUCUCCGCAGGUCUUCAUUAGUAAGCUCGUCAUGUUGCACAGCAAGGAGUUCAAUGAAGUCGUCCUCUUGCAGAUCUAGCUCCAGCUUCUCGCUGAGGGUCACUACGUUGCUGAAGACCUCUUUGGACCCCUCAUCCACCUUCUCAAAUUCAUGAAAAUCAUGAACAAACUGCGGGCAAAGUUUCUUCCAAACUCCAUUCGUGGUGACGGCCAUACCCUCACACCAAGCAAAGUCAAUGUUUUUAUGGCCUUGUAGAUGUUAUAGUCCUUCCAAAAUUGUCUCGUUGUUCCUGAUUCGUUACUCACCUUUACUGCUUGGCAAAAAGUGUGAUGUAAAUAAUAUUUCUUGAAAAUCACUGUAACUCCCUGGCCCAUAGGUUGGAUGAGCGAUGUAAUAUUCAGUGGCAGAUGCACUACUUUGACGUUGGGAUGAAAGUCGUCCAUGAAUGGGAGGUGGCCUGGAUCAUUGUUGAGCAGCAAAAGAAUGUUGAAUGGGGUGUCCUUCUCCAAGAAAUAUUUCUCUCUCUCUGGAAUAAAGUGGUGGAAAAACCAGUCCUGGAAAAUGGCCCGUGUAACUCAGGCUUUGGGGUUACUCUUCCACACAACAGGAAGAGAGUCCUUGGCUAUGUUUUUAAGGGCUCUCGGGUUCUCUGAAUGAUAAACUAAGACAGGCUUCAGCUUCCUAUCACCAGAAGCAUUGCCACCAAACAACAGAGUUAGCCUAUCCUUUGCUGCUUUAGAUCCUCGCAUCAGCUUUUCCUCCUUACUCAUGUAACUUCGGUCUGGCAUCCUCUUCCAGUACAGUCCUGUCUCAUCCACGUUAAAAACCUGCUCGGGUAAAUACAUGCCUUCAUCAAUAAUUUCUCGAAACAUUUCAGGAAAUUCCCAGGCAGCUACUGGUCUGCACUCGCUACCUCGCCCCUUACUUUUAGGUUGUGAAGGUUGGCUCUAGCCUUGAACCAAUGAAACCAGCCAUGGCUGGCAUUAAAAGACGUGCCCUCUGAUUCUUCACCAAGUUUCUCCUUCAGGUCGUCUUAAGGGCUUUUAGCUUUCUCUUGCAUCACCAUUAAGCUGAGCGGGACUCGACACUGAUGCUGAUCCUGCAUCCACACACUGAGGAGUGUCUCCAUCUCCUCCGUCACUUUUCCACGCUUCUUUGAUAUUAUUGCCUACAUCAUCUGCACAGCAGACUUCACAUGUUCUAUGAUCUUGUCCUUGUUCUUUAGAAUUGUAACGAUGGUUGAACAAGUCAUGUUAUAAGAUCGAGCGACGUCUACCAUGGAGCCUCCAGAUGCCGAAACUGCCGUUAUUAAAUGCUGAUCCAUCCCACUCUUGUACCUCCUUGCCGAGUGUUUUCUAAGGGCACUGUGUGCAUAUGUAUUUUAUCCCACCACUUUUUUUUUUUUUGCGGUACGCGGGCCUCUCACUGUUGUGGCCUCUCCCGUUGCGGAGCACAGCCUCUGGACGCACAGACUCAGGGGCCAUGGCUCACGGGCCCAGCUGCUCCACAGCAUGUGGGGUCUUCCCGGACCAGGGCACGAACCCGUGUCCCCCGCAUCAGCAGGUGGACUCUCAACCACUGCGCCACCAGGGAAGCCCCCCCACUACUUUUUUAUUCAACAUUUGAACCAAAGCAUUUUUUCAUGAUGUAUAGUAAGAAUAAUAAUUCUUAUUAUUAAAGAAUAAUUUGCCUGAAAUUCCUACAGAGUUUGUUUGGUUUCGCACACCAUGAGGUGCUGAUUCCAAAUCUCUUCUCUUUGGAGUUGAGGCCACUGAUUGGAACAAGCUUAAGCGGAGGCUUAGGCCUUCCAUGUGGAUGCACAGCUCCCCUGUUUUGUCAGUCAAGGCUUCCAAUCUUCUGAGAUGGGAUGUAAAGCCACACCUUGAAAAAUCACUGUCCUAGAUUAUUCAAUUAGCCAUUUUUCUGUUUAUUUUUGAUCUUCAAAACUCUCCUUUAUUUUGAAUAAUCAGUAUUUAAUGAUUUGUUGGUGAAGUGAUGCCAGCAGCAUACAGUAACACAGAUGCUCUUUAGCCAUCCCAGUUUGGACAGGAAGCAGGCAGGACAGAAGUUAUCAGGAAGUGUUGCCCACAUACAGGAAGAAACACUGUUUGGGAAGCCAAUUCCUGGAGAAAAAAAUUCUGAGCCUGACCACAUUUGGAAUGAAAUUAAGGUAAAAACUAGAGUCUUGCUGUAUUCCGUGAUCCAAAAGAAACUACAUCUGCCUGAGAGCAGAAGCCUCUGCUUUUCCAGGGGCAACUGUAUCACAAGAGCUGCAGAAGCAAAACUCCAUCUUGCACAUGUCGGGCAGGUGAGCGUGAUAUGAGGAACAGCAUGCUGAGGGGAAGUGGGGCCCCGGGCCUCAAGGUUUCCUUUCAUGAGCCGAUGUCGCCUCUGCAAGACAGGACUUCCUGGCUCUGAAAUUUGCUCCGGCUCUGAAGACUGCACAAGCCUGUUGCUACCUGAGAAAUCUUGCAGCAGGACUUUGGCCAAAAGUAAUAAAGCCUCACUUACAGAAGAGACGGAUGCUCAGAGGGAAGGGGAAACAUCUCUCCACUGCAAUUACGAGGAGAUGCUGGGCUUGGUGAGGAGGGGGCAGAGCACUGCGGCUUCCAGCUGAGGCCCCGUCGUUGGGAGAGGAGUCCCGUCAUCCCAGGGGACAGAGAGGAAAAGCCAGAGCUGGGGCACAAAGCACAACCAAGAGCUCCCAUCCCUGAGCACCCGGACGGACCAUCACGUUGUCUGCACUUCUGGAAAACCACCAUUGAAUGUGCUCCUUACCAAUAAUUGCACGUGGAUGACACAGGGGAGUGGAGGGCAAGGACCCACCCAGAGGAGGGUUAGUGAGCUCGUAGCCCAGGAUGUGUGUCUACCUGCACAGCGAUGUCAAGUCACAGGCCAGCCUCCCAGCAGACAUGGACCAACCUCUUCUCAUUUGCUCAGAGGGGCAUCUGUACCUCCCUAAACCCAGAUGGUCAUCCAAAUUCAAAUACCUCUCUAAAUAGGUAAAUCCUUGUCUAAAUAGACAAGUACCUGUCUCAACCCUGACACCCAUUUCCAGCAUCCUUGACAGCCAGGAGGGAUCAGGUGACCUGGUUCUGACCAAUGAGAGGUAAGGUGAAGGGCUGCUGCAGAAUUUCUGGGGAAGGAGACUUCUUGCUGCCACUUCCCUCAUCCCACCCCAGCCCUAUUUCCUGCUUUGGAUGUGGGUGUCCAGAGCUGACCGUGAGGCACAAAGGUAUUUGGGUGACAAUCCAAAGCCCCGAGGAUGGCAGAGCAGAAGGAUGAAAAGAACUGGGACCACUGAUGAUGAAACUGAGCAGAACCCUGGGGCCCUCCCAGGCCCCAAAGCCCCUCCAGGUCCCCAGUUUCUUGUUUGCAAGAGAAAGGUUUCAGCCUCCUUGACCUUUCCUGAGUUCCAAAGGGCAGAUUCAAACAGUGACUAGUUAAGGGAGUGAGAGAAUACAGAAAGAAAGAGUAGUGCAGUAUGGGGCCUGGUCCUGUUUCCUCCUCCAGGUACAUACAUACAUAACAGUUUGAUACAUCUCUCUGAGUUCAUCUACAGGAGCCGAUCAGAGGAUGGUCACACACCCUGCAGCCCUCCCACCAAAUUUUGCCUAGAAAAACUUUUGCCCCAGAACCAUCGGGGAGUUUGUACUUUUUGAGCACGAGCUGCCCGUUCUCCUUGUAUGGCCCUACAAUAACCCUUUCUCUGCUCCAGACUCUGACAUUUUGGUUUGUUUGGCCUCACUGUGUGUCAGGCUCAUGAACUUGGGUUUGAUAACAGUGAGACCACAGAACCCCUGGACACGCGGACAGCCCUGACCCCUGGGCGUCCUGGGUUGUGAGGCGAAUCAGCUCCAUAUCCUUAAAUCACUUUGAGUUCUGUGCUCUGUUCCUUGCAGCCAAGCAUAUGCUACUUGACAAGAUGUGCUUUAGCUAGAGCUGCCUUUUUGAGACUAUAUUGAAAGAGUUGACAGUCUUCUUUCAAUAAAGGAUGCAGGAAAUGUAACACAUAAGGAAAUUCAGCUCGUUAUUGUAUAGACAAGCUCUAAGAAAAUGACUUAGACAAAGUGAAAAGUAUAAUUACCAACAAAAUUAUGAAGAAGGCCCUUAUUCAUAAGGGGACACUUCUCAUUAGUAACAAUAUUUUCAUACACGUGCCAUCAUUUUGUGAUACUCAUGUUAAGAAAGACAGGGAGACGGCAAAAACAUUGGAUAGUCCAGGGACUUUUGCUUAGAGCCAGAAGUGCAUAUUUUUGGCUUGUGUUUGUGGGCCAAACAUUUUUUUGAAACUUUAAAUUUAUUUUCUUUUAUGAGUAGGUAAUAUAUGACUCACAAUCAAAAAAUGCAAAGGGAUAUUCAGGUAAAAACCUCCCUCCAUGUUCCCCAACCAGCCAAUUCUCCUCCCUGGAAGCAAACAGCAUCACUAAUUUCUCUUAGAUCUUUCCAGACACAGGGACAGAUUUUAAGAAGUGGUGGGCCAGCCCAUCGAUGGAAGAAUGGAUAAAGAAGAUGUGAUAUAUAUAUAUAUAUAUAUAUAUAUAUACACAAUGGAAUAUUACUCAGCCAUAAAAAAGAAUGAAAUAAUGCCAUUUGCAGUGACAUGGAUGGACCUGGAUAUUGUCAUAUUGAGUGAAGUAAGUCAGACAGAGAAAGACACAUAUCAUAUGAUAUCGCUUAUAUGUGGAGUCUAAAAAUAUGGUACAAAUGAGCCUAUUUACACUACAGAAAUGGAGUCACAGAUGUAGAAAACAAACUUAUGGUUACCAAGGGGGAAAGGUGGGGAUAAACUGGGAGAUUGGGAUUGACAUAUACACACCACUAUGUAUAAAACAGAUAAUAAGAACCUACUGUAUAGCACAGGGAACUCUACUCAAUACUCUGUAAUGACAUAUAUGGGAAUAGAAUCUAAAAAAGAGUGGAUGUAUGUAUAUGUGUAACUGAGUCACUUUGCUGUACUGCAGAAACUAACACAGCAUUGUAAAUCAACUAU